UACGUAGGGAGCAAGCGUUGUCCGGAAUCAUUGGGCGUAAAGCGCGCGUAGGCGGCCCGGUCAGUCCGUCGUGAAAGUCAAAGGCUCAACCUUUGAAUGUCGAUGGAUACUGCCGGGCUAGAGUCCGGAAGAGGCGAGUGGAAUUCCUGGUGUAGCGGUGGAAUGCGCAGAUAUCAGGAGGAACACCAAUAGCGAAGGCAGCUCGCUGGGACGGUACUGACGCUAAGGCGCGAAAGCUAGGGGAGCGAACGGG
rnacentral:rRNA from 1 species